GAUGAGAACGCAGUGAAAUGCGAUAAGUAAUGUGAAUUGCAGAAUUCAGUGAAUCAUCGAAUCUUUGAACGCACAUUGCGCCCGCCAGUAUUCUGGCGGGCAUGCCUGUCUGAGCGUCAUUUCAACCCUCAUGCCCCUAGGGCGUGGUGUUGGGGAUCGGCCAAAGCCCGCGAGGGACGGCCGGCCCCUAAAUCUAGUGGCGGACCCGUCGUGGCCUCCUCUGCGAAGUAGUGAUAUUCCGCAUCGGAGAGCGAUGAGCCCCUGCCGUUAAACCCCCAACUUUCCAAGGUUGACCUCAGAUCAGGUAGGAAUACCCGCUGAACUUAAGCAUAUCAAUAAGCGGAGGA
rnacentral:misc_RNA from 1 species